rnacentral:lncRNA from 1 species
CAAUAUUGAUGGAACUAUACCAUAAUGUUAACCACCAAAUGAAGAUUUGCUUUUUGGGGGUGGCACUUUCAAGAUGGCUGCCGUUACCAUGGAAACGAAACAAAUGUGAAAAAAUCCAGUUUUUUGUUUUGGUGAACUAGUUGGAUACUAUUUAACUCAGAAUCAUUAUAUUUUAAUACAAUGUAGGUGCCCACUAUAUACAGGUGUUGGAUGAUUUUGGCACUCAUUGGAACUACUAUGUUGCCAUGGAAACUACUCCAAAAAAUUCAAAAAUCUCAAAAUGUUCCAAACUUAAUGAAACUUCACAGUAACGAUGAGCAACAUUGGAAGAUGUGGAAUUUGGCGUUGGAAUUUCCAAAAUCGCUGUUGUUACCAUGGAAACAAUGCAAAAAGGUCAAAACUUUGAAUUUUCACAGAACAUUCUAGAACAUCAAUGUUUAAUUUAUUCUAGAGACAUUAAAUGGUAUAUGAUGAUUAUGGAGGGAAAAAAUUGCAGCGGGGGUUUGACUUUGGAAUAUUCAAAAUGGCCGCCGUUACCAUGGAAACAGCAAAAAUACAAAAAAACUUCAAAAUGCUUCAAAUUUAUUGAAACUUAUAACAAAUGUUGCUCAGCUAAUGUAGACUUGACUUUUGAGUUUGGAAUUUCCAAAAUGGCCGCCGUUACCAUGGCUACCGCUCACCUGGCAAUAGGGGAAGGGUGCCAUCCGCUAUUGCUUGCAAUCGCAAAUCUAGUUAUGUCACCC